UACGGAGGGGGCUAGCGUUGUUCGGAAUUACUGGGCGUAAAGCGCACGUAGGCGGCUUUGUAAGUUAGAGGUGAAAGCCCGGGGCUCAACUCCGGAAUUGCCUUUAAGACUGCAUCGCUAGAAUCGUGGAGAGGUAAGUGGAAUUCCGAGUGUAGAGGUGAAAUUCGUAGAUAUUCAGAAGAACACCAGUGGCGAAGGCGACUUACUGGACACAUAUUGACGCUGAGGUGCGAAAGCGUGGGGAGCAAACAGG
rnacentral:rRNA from 1 species